ACUGAUUGCCUCGUACGGCGAGUGAGCGGCAAAAGCUCAAAUUUGAAAUCCCCCCGGGGAGUUGUAAUUUGAAGAUUGCGUCUUGGAGGCGACCGUGUCUAUGUUCCUUGGAACAGGACGUCACAGAGGGUGAGAAUCCCGUGCGGCACGGCCCCCGGCUCCUUAUAAGGCGCUCUCGACGAGUCGAGUUGUUUGGGAAUGCAGCUCAAAGUGGGUGGUAAAUUCCAUCUAAAGCUAAAUACAGGCGAGAGACCGAUAGCGAACAAGUACAGUGAUGGAAAGAUGAAAAGCACUUUGAAAAGAGAGUGAAACAGCACGUGAAAUUGUUGAAAGGGAAGGGCAUGCCGUCAGAUUGUCAGUGUGGGUAAGAAGCGGGGUACAAAGACUGUGGAACGUGGCCCUCGGGUGUUAUAGCCGCAGUUCAUGCCCCGUCUCUUUCCGAGGCCUGCUUUGAGGACACCGACGUAAUGACGGUACGCCGCCCGUCUUGAA
rnacentral:rRNA from 1 species